UACGGGGGGGGCAAGCGUUGUUCGGAAUUACUGGGCGUAAAGGGCUCGUAGGCGGCCAACUAAGUCGGACGUGAAAUCCCCAGGCUCAACCUGGGAACUGCGUCUGAUACUGGAUGGCUUGAAUCCGGGAGAGGGAUGCAGAAUUCCAGGUGUAGCGGUGAAAUGCGUAGAUAUCGGAAGGAACGCCGGUGGCGAAAGCGACGUGCUGGACCUCUUCUGACGCUGAGGCGCGAAAGCUAGGGGAGCAAACGGG
rnacentral:rRNA from 1 species